AUUGAACGCUGGCGGCAUGCUUUACACAUGCAAGUCGAACGGUAGCAGGCCGCAAGGUGCUGACGAGUGGCGAACGGGUGAGUAAUGCAACGGAACGUGCCCAGUCGUGGGGGAUAACUACUCGAAAGAGUAGCUAAUACCGCAUACGAUCUAUGGAUGAAAGCGGGGGACCGUAAGGCCUCGCGCGAUUGGAGCGGCCGAUGUCAGAUUAGGUAGUUGGUGGGGUAAAGGCUCACCAAGCCAACGAUCUGUAGCUGGUCUGAGAGGACGACCAGCCACACUGGGACUGAGACACGGCCCAGACUCCUACGGGAGGCAGCAGUGGGGAAUUUUGGACAAUGGGCGCAAGCCUGAUCCAGCAAUGCCGCGUGCAGGAAGAAGGCCUUCGGGUUGUAAACUGCUUUUGUACGGAACGAAACGGCUCUGGUUAAUACCCGGGGCUAAUGACGGUACCGUAAGAAUAAGCACCGGCUAACUACGUG
rnacentral:rRNA from 1 species